GAGUUUGAUCCUGGCUCAGGAUGAACGCUAGCGGCAGGCCUAACACAUGCAAGUCGAGGGGCAGCAUAGAUUGCUUGCAAUCUGAUGGCGACCGGCGUACGGGUGCGUAACGCGUAUACAAUCUACCUUUUACUGAGGGAUAGCCCAGAGAAAUUUGGAUUAAUACCUCAUAGUAUUAUUAAGGGGCAUCUUUUAAUAAUUAAAGGUUACGGUAAGAGAUGAGUAUGCGUCCUAUUAGCUAGAUGGUGUGGUAACGGCACACCAUGGCGACGAUAGGUAGGGGCCCUGAGAGGGGGAUCCCCCACACUGGUACUGAGACACGGACCAGACUCCUACGGGAGGCAGCAGUGAGGAAUAUUGGACAAUGGUCGGAAGACUGAUCCAGCCAUGCCGCGUGCAGGAAGACUGCCCUAUGGGUUGUAAACUGCUUUUAUACAGGAAGAAACGCUUCUACGUGUAGAGGCUUGACGGUACUGUAAGAAUAAGCAUCGGCUAACUCCGUGCCAGCAGCCGCGGUAAUACGGAGGAUGCAAGCGUUAUCCGGAAUCAUUGGGUUUAAAGGGUCCGUAGGUGGAUAAUUAAGUCAGAGGUGAAAUCCUGCAGCUCAACUGUAGAACUGCCUUUGAUACUGGUUAUCUUGAGUCAUUAUGAAGUGGUUAGAAUGUGUAGUGUAGCGGUGAAAUGC
rnacentral:rRNA from 1 species